rnacentral:rRNA from 1 species
CAGGAUUGUCUCAGUAGCGGCGAGUGAAGAGACAUCAGCCCAGAUUUAGAAUUGUAAUCUCGGAAGCAAUUCCGAGCUCGACGAAUGGCAUAACUUACCUGGGACGGUAGGCCAGAGAAGGUAACAGCCCUGUGAUGCCAGGACCGAGCCGUGAAUGCGUGGAGAGUCGGGUUGUUUGGGAAUGCAGCCCUAAGCGGGAGAUAGACAUCUUCUAAGGCUAAAUACCGGUGGGAGACCGAUAGCGCACAAGUACUGCGAAGGAAAGAUGAAAAGAACUUUGGAAAGAGGGUUAAAAAACGUGAAAUCGUUGAAGUGGAACUGAUCGCAGCCCGUCCAGGCUAUGUCUCCGUGCUUAGCUCUCAGGACCCCCGGACUCAAAUCCCAAGUCUCAUGAGUUAAGUACUGGCAUAGCACGUCCCCGCAUCAGUUCUAGUGCUGCUAAUCAAACGCUUCAAGUUAGGUUGCGUCUGGAUCAGCACUGGGACUGAGGAAGAUGCGAGGAAAGCGACUGUGAUCGACCCGUCUUGAAACACGGACCAAGGAGUCUAACUGUCGUGCGAGUGGGAGGGUGUCAAACCCGAACGCGUACCGAAAGGGAGUAUAAGGUGCAAGGACAACCGCAGCACCAGCGAGCGAGAGCUCAGCAAGAGCACGAGGGUUAGGACCCGAAAGAUGGUGAACUAUGCCCGAGUAGGGUGAAGCCAGGGGAAACUCUGGUGGAGGCUCGAAGCGUUACUGACGUGCAAAUCGUUCGUCGAACUUGGGUGUAGGGGCGAAAGACUAAUCGAACCAUCUAGUAGCUGGUUCCCUCUGAAAUUUCUCUCAGGAUAGCGGGGACAGAACAGUUUUAUCAGGUAAAGCGAAUGAUUAGAGUCCUCGGGGGCCAGAGGCCCUUGAACUAUUCUCAAACUUUCAAUUGGUAAGAGCCCAUGGGUUGCUUAACUGAACCCAGGGGAACAAUGUCUGUCCUCAGUGGGCCAUUUUUGGUAAGCAGAACUGGCGAUGAGGGAUGAACCUAACGUCGGGCUAAGGUGCCCAAUUCCACGCUCAUGAGACA